GGUUAAGCGACUAAGCGUACACGGUGGAUGCCCUGGCAGUCAGAGGCGAUGAAGGACGUGCUAAUCUGCGAAAAGCGUCGGUAAGGUGAUAUGAACCGUUAUAACCGGCGAUGUCCGAAUGGGGAAACCCAGUGCAAUUCGUUGCACUAUCGUUAACUGAAUACAUAGGUUAACGAGGCGAACCGGGGAACUGAAACAUCUAAGUACCCGAGGAAAAGAAAUCAACCGAGAUUCCCCCAGUAGCGGCGAGCGAACGGGGAGCAGCCCAGAGUCUGAAUCAGCUUGUGUGUUAGUGGAACGGUCUGGAAAGUCCGACGGUACAGGGUGAUAGUCCCGUACACCAAAAUGCACAGGCUGUGAACUCGAAGAGUAGGGCGGGACACGUGGUAUCCUGUCUGAAUAUGGGGGGACCAUCCUCCAAGGCUAAAUACUCCUGACUGACCGAUAGUGAACCAGUACCGUGAGGGAAAGGCGAAAAGAACCCCGGCGAGGGGAGUGAAAAAGAACCUGAAACCGUGUACGUACAAGCAGUGGGAGCACCUUCGGGUGUGACUGCGUACCUUUUGUAUAAUGGGUCAGCGACUUAUAUUCUGUAGCAAGGUUAACCGUAUAGGGAGCCGCAGGGAAACCGAGUCUUAACUGGGCGUUAAGUUGCAGGGUAUAGACCCGAAACCCGGUGAUCUAGCCAUGGGCAGGUUGAAGGUUGGGUAACACUAACUGGAGGACCGAACCGACUAAUGUUGAAAAAUUAGCGGAUGACUUGUGGCUGGGGGUGAAAGGCCAAUCAAACCGGGAGAUAGCUGGUUCUCCCCGAAAGCUAUUUAGGUAGCGCCUCGUGAAUUCAUCUUCGGGGGUAGAGCACUGUUUCGGCUAGGGGGUCAUCCCGACUUACCAACCCGAUGCAAACUACGAAUACCGAAGAAUGUUAUCACGGGAGACACACGGCGGGUGCUAACGUCCGUCGUGAAGAGGGAAACAACCCAGACCGCCAGCUAAGGUCCCAAAGUCAUGGUUAAGUGGGAAACGAUGUGGGAAGGCACAGACAGCCAGGAUGUUGGCUUAGAAGCAGCCAUCAUUUAAAGAAAGCGUAAUAGCUCACUGGUCGAGUCGGCCUGCGCGGAAGAUGUAACGGGGCUAAACCAUGCACCGAAGCUGCGGCAGCGACACUAUGUGUUGUUGGGUAGGGGAGCGUUUGUAAGCCUGCGAAGGUGACCUGUGAGGGUUGCUGGAGGUAUCAGAAGUGCGAAUGCUGACAUAAGUAACGAUAAAGCGGGUGAAAAGCCCGCUCGCCGGAAGACCAAGGGUUCCUGUCCAACGUUAAUCGGGCAGGGUGAGUCGACCCCUAAGGCGAGGCCGAAAGGCGUAGUCGAUGGGAAACAGGUUAAUAUUCCUGUACUUGGUGUUACUGCGAAGGGGGGACGGAGAAGGCUAUGUUAGCCGGGCGACGGUUGUCCCGGUUUAAGCAUGUAGGCUGGUUAUCCAGGCAAAUCCGGAUAAUCAAGGCUGAGGUGUGAUGACGAGGCACUACGGUGCUGAAGUAACAAAUGCCCUGCUUCCAGGAAAAGCCUCUAAGCAUCAGGUAACAUUAAAUCGUACCCCAAACCGACACAGGUGGUCAGGUAGAGAAUACCAAGGCGCUUGAGAGAACUCGGGUGAAGGAACUAGGCAAAAUGGUGCCGUAACUUCGGGAGAAGGCACGCUGGUGUGUAGGUGAAGUCCCUGCGGAUGGAGCUGAGACCAGUCGAAGAUACCAGCUGGCUGCAACUGUUUAUUAAAAACACAGCACUGUGCAAACACGAAAGUGGACGUAUACGGUGUGACGCCUGCCCGGUGCCGGAAGGUUAAUUGAUGGGGUUAUCCGUAAGGAGAAGCUCUUGAUCGAAGCCCCGGUAAACGGCGGCCGUAACUAUAACGGUCCUAAGGUAGCGAAAUUCCUUGUCGGGUAAGUUCCGACCUGCACGAAUGGCGUAAUGAUGGCCAGGCUGUCUCCACCCGAGACUCAGUGAAAUUGAACUCGCUGUGAAGAUGCAGUGUACCCGCGGCAAGACGGAAAGACCCCGUGAACCUUUACUAUAGCUUGACACUGAACAUUGAGCCUUGAUGUGUAGGAUAGGUGGGAGGCUUUGAAGCGUGGACGCCAGUCUGCGUGGAGCCAACCUUGAAAUACCACCCUUUAAUGUUUGAUGUUCUAACGUUGGCCCCUGACCGGGGUUGCGGACAGUGUCUGGUGGGUAGUUUGACUGGGGCGGUCUCCUCCCAAAGCGUAACGGAGGAGCACGAAGGUUAGCUAAUCCUGGUCGGACAUCAGGAGGUUAGUGCAAUGGCAUAAGCUAGCUUGACUGCGAGCGUGACGGCGCGAGCAGGUGCGAAAGCAGGUCAUAGUGAUCCGGUGGUUCUGAAUGGAAGGGCCAUCGCUCAACGGAUAAAAGGUACUCCGGGGAUAACAGGCUGAUACCGCCCAAGAGUUCAUAUCGACGGCGGUGUUUGGCACCUCGAUGUCGGCUCAUCACAUCCUGGGGCUGAAGUAGGUCCCAAGGGUAUGGCUGUUCGCCAUUUAAAGUGGUACGCGAGCUGGGUUUAGAACGUCGUGAGACAGUUCGGUCCCUAUCUGCCGUGGGCGCUGGAGAAUUGGGGGGGCUGCUCCUAGUACGAGAGGACCGGAGGGACGCAUCACUGGUGUUCGGGUUGUCAUGCCAAUGGCACUGCCCGGUAGCUAAAUGCGGAAGAGAUAAGUGCUGAAAGCAUCUAAGCACGAAACUUGCCCCGAGAUGAGUUCUCCCUGAGACUUUAAGUCUCCUGAAGGAACGUUAAAGACGAUGACGUUGAUAGGCCGGGUGUGUAAGCGCAGCGAUGCGUUGAGCUAACCGGUACUAAUGAACCGUGAGGCUUAACCUU
rnacentral:rRNA from 1 species